GAUGAACGCUGGCGGCGUGCCUAAUACAUGCAAGUCGAGCGAACAGACGAGGAGCUUGCUCCUCUGACGUUAGCGGCGGACGGGUGAGUAACACGUGGAUAACCUACCUAUAAUACUGGGAUAACUUCGGGAAACCGGAGCUAAUACCGGAUAAUAUAUUGAACCGCAUGGUUCAAUAGUGAAAGACGGUUUUGCUGUCACUUAUAGAUGGAUCCGCGCCGCAUUAGCUAGUUGGUAAGGUAACGGCUUACCAAGGCAACGAUGCGUAGCCGACCUGAGAGGGUGAUCGGCCACACUGGAACUGAGACACGGUCCAGACUCCUACGGGAGGCAGCAGUAGGGAAUAUUCCGCAAUGGGCGAAAGCCUGACGGAGCAACGCCGCGUGAGUGAUGAAGGUCUUCGGAUCGUAAAACUCUGUUAUUAGGGAAGAACAAAUGUGUAAGUAAAUAUGCACGUCUUGACGGUACCUAAUCAGAAAGCAACGGCUAACUACGUG
rnacentral:rRNA from 1 species